rnacentral:rRNA from 1 species
AUGAUCGUAGGUCAGGCGAGAUCACCCACUGAGUUUAAGCAUAUCAAUAAGUGAAGGAAAAGAAACUUAUCAAGAUUCCCCUAGUAACAACGAGCGAACUAAAAAGAGCCCAGCUUGAGAAUCGGGCACCCCCAGCGUCUAAAUUGUAGUCUAGAGAAGUGUCUUUAGCGACAGACCGGGCCCAAGUCCCAUGGAAAGGGGCAUCAAAAAAGGUGAGAGCCCCGUUAUGCUCGGACCCUAUCGUACCAUGAGGCACUAUCUGUAAGUCAAGUUGUUUGGGAAUGCAGCCUCAAUCAGGAGAUAAAUUCCAUCCAAGGUUGAAUACGAUGAGAGAUCGAUAGCGAACAAGUACCAUGAGGGAAAGAUGAAAAGGACUUUGAAAAGAGAGUCAAAGAGUGGUUGAAAUUGUCAAGAGGGAAGCGGAUGGGGGUCGACGAUGCACCUCGAUCAGAUGUGGAAUGACAAGAGUCGAUCCAUCGAUUGGCUCGGGGUGUGGACCGACGCGGGUUGUAGCAGUGACCUAAGCCUGGGCUUUUGAUGUGCCCAUGGAGACGUCGUCACUGUGAUCAUAGAUUGCAGUACGUGUCAUCUUAAUAUGGCUCGGCACCUACGUGCUCCCGACGUCAGCCUACAAGCUCCGCAUCUGACCCAUCUUGAAACAUGAACCAAAGAGUCUGACAUAUGUUGGAGUCAACGGGCCAGGAAACUCAUAAGGUGCAAAGAAGUUGAUUGGCGAGAUCCCUUGUGGGUACACCAUCGAUCGACCUUAAUCUUCUGAGAAGGGUUCGAGUGCGAGCAUGCCCGUCCAGACCCGAAAGAUGGUGAACUAUAGCAGAGAAAACUCUGGUGGAGGCUCGCAGCGAUACUGACAUGCAAAUUGUUCAUCUAACUUGGAUAUAGGGGUGAAAGACUAAUUGAACCGUCUAGUAGCUAGUUUCUUAUGAAGUUUCCCUUAAGAUAGUUGGAGCCCCUGGUGAGUUCUAUUAGGUAAAGCCAAUGAUUAGAGGCAUCAGGGGUGCAACGCCUUCGACCUAUUCUCAAACUUUAAAUACGUAGGACGAUGACGCUGCUUUGUUGAGCCGUGCCACAAAAUCGACAGCUCCAAGUGGGCCAUUUUUGGUAAGCAGAACUGGUGAUGCAGGAUGAAUCGAAAGUCAGGUUACGGUGCCCAACUGCGUAAUAACCUAGAACCCACAAAGGGUGUUGGUUGAUUAAGACAACAGGACGGAGGUCAUGAAAGUUGAAAUCCGCUAAGGAGUGUGUAACAACUCACCUGCCAAAUCAACUAGCCCCGAAAAUGGAUGGUGCUUAAGUUCGCGACCUAUACCCAAUCGUCAAGGCAAGGGCCAGGCCCCGAUGAGUAGGAGGGUGCGACGGUUAUCAUAAAACCUGAGGCACAAGCUCAGGUAGAGCGAUCAUUGGUGCAGAUCUUAGUGGCAGUAGCAAAUAUUCAAAUAAGAACUUUGAAGGUUCGAAGAGGGGAAAGUUUUCAUGUGAAAGACACUUGCACAUGGGUUAGUCGAUCCUAAGAGACGGGGGAAGCUCGUCCGAUAGAGCGUCCCCGAGAGCUUCGAAAGGGAAUUGGGUUAAAAUUUUUGAACUGGGAUGCGAUGACUAAUGGCAAUGUUAGGGAGUCUAGAGACGUCAGUGGGGGCCUCGAGAAGAGUUAUCUUUUUUAUUUAAUGGCCCACCCACCCUAGAAACAGCUCAGUCGGAGGUAGGGUCCAGCGGCCAGAAGAGCACCACAUGUCGCGUGGUGUCUGGUACACCCCUGGUGGCCCUUGAAAAUUUGAAGGACCGAGUGCCGUUCGUGCCUAGUUGUACUCAUAACCGCAUCGGUCUCCAAGGUGAACAGCCUCUGGUCGAUGGAAUAAUGUAGGCAAAGGAAGUCAGUAAAAUGGAUCUGUAAACUCAUGAAAAAGAUUGGCUCUAAGGGUUGGGCAUGGGGGUCUCAAUCUCAAAUCCAUCAGCUACCAGUGCACUGUUCGAGCUGCUUCCACAGCAAGAGCCGGUUGUCGCGUGUCGGCUUGGGGAUGGACUAGGAAUGGCUCUCUUGGGGGCCUUCCCUAGGUGACGAAUAGUCGACUCAAAACUAGUGCAGACAAGGGGAAUCUGACUGUUUAAUUUAAAUAAAGCAUUGCGAUGGUCCCUACAGUAGCUCAAGCAAUGUGAUUUUUACCUAGUGCUCUGAAUGUCAAAAUGAAGAAAUUCAAACAAGCACGGGUAAAUGACAGGAGUAACUAUGACUCUCUUAAUGUAGCCAAAUGCCUCAUCAUCUAAUUAGUGAUGCACAUGAAUGGAUUAACGAGAUUCCCACUGUCCCUAUCUACUAUCCAGUGAAACCACAGCCAAGGGAAUGGGCUUGGUGGAAUCAGUGGGGAAAGAAGACCCUGUUAAGCUUGACUCCAGUUUGACUUUGUGAAAUGACUAGAGAGGUGUAGAAUAAGUGGGAGCCCUCGGACGAAAUUGAAACAACAUUACUUUGAAAGUUAUUUUACUUUUUCCAUGAAUCGGAGGUGAGGCACAACCCCUUCUUUUGGACGAAAGGCUGACCUCGACCGAUUGAUCCUAGCAGAAGACAUUGUUAGGUGGGGGAGUUUGGCUAGGACAGCACAUCUGUUAAAAGAUAAUGCAGGUGUCCUAAGAUGAGUUCAACAAGAGCAAAAAUCUUGUGUGGAAUAAAAGGGUAAAAGCUCAUUUGACUCUAAUUUCCAAUACAAAUACGAACCAUGAAAGCAUGGCUUAUCGAUCCUUUAGACCUUUCAGAUUUGAAGCUAGAGGUGUCAAAAAAGUUACCAUAGGGAUAAUUGGCUUGUGGCAACCAAGUGUUCAUAGCGACAUUGCUUUUUAAUCCUUCGAUGUCGGCUCUUUCUAUCAUUGUGAAGCAGAAUUCACUGAGUGUUGGAUUGUUCACCCACCAAUAGGGAACAUGAGAUAGGUUUAGAUCAUCGUGAGACAGGUUAGUUUUACCCUACUGAUGGUGGCGUCGUGAUAGUAAUUCAACCUAGUACGAGAAGAACCAUUGAUUCGCACAAUUGGUCAUCACGUUCGGUUGAAAAGCCAGUGAUGUGAAGCUAUCAUGCAUUGGAUUAUGACUGAAUGCCUCUAAGUCAGAAUCUAGACUAGAAACGACACGCACGCCCGUUGCUUGAUUGCUGACCCAUAGUAGGGGCCUAUGGCCCCCAAGGGUAUGUGUCUUUGGUGGAACCCCUAAGGCAGAUGAGCCACACGGGCCUCCUUAGAGCUCAAUUCCCAUCAAA